UAUAUUGCAUAAUUAAAUUAUCUGUUGCCUUGAAUUUGUUUUAAAAACAGUAACAUAUGUUAAAUUGAUUAUUUAAGACUUUCCUUAUUUUCCCCAAAAUCCGGCUUUAUGCGUGUUUUUUUCUACAAAAUCCGGCGCUUUGUGUGAUUUUUUCCCCUAAAAAAAGGCCAGGCCCUUUCCCCAAAAUCAGAUAAAGAACCCUGUAGUAUGCUCACUUGAAUGAGAUUUAUUUGUUCAUAAUUCAUAAGACCCGCCUAUAUGCUGAUAUAAUGUGACAGUGCAAUAUUUAAUGUCUGAAUUGUCGAGAGAACUUCUAAAUUGUGUUACCAAUAGUUCACAUUGAUUUACCUACAAUUAUUUAGUUUUUUGUCUACUGGUUAGCGAGUAUUUGUCGGACGAAAUAUUGGGUUUUUCUUUGCUUACUUUGUUAAUAAUCAGAAAUAUGUCAUUAAAAAAAUUACUCAUAUACACAACAGAUCAUGGUUAUGUAGUUUAUAAGUGAGUGUAAACAAAACAGUUUUGGUGUCAGAUGAGUAUGUACGAGGCCCGUAUUUGGGGCAGUAAAGGGAGAUGAUUUUAAAUGUACAGGAGUAUUUUUCGGGAUAUUUAUAUUAUUUUUGUAAAUGGAAACAAAUUAGAGUUAAAAUGAUACUCUUCUUAUUAGAAAUGUUGAAAUGACGUGAAUGUUGUGUUACGGUGCAACACGGUGUCUUUUUAGGCGUGUAUAAAUAGAGUUACAGUUGGUUUCCAAUAGCUAUGUAUACCAGAAUGUAUAUGUUGAAUGUCAUCUUUAAAAUUGAUGACACUCAUGGCAUCAGUAAACAGGAUUUUUUGAAGUUGAUUGUGAAAACACUGCCACUAAUAACCUAAUAACUAUUAAUAGGAGACAAUCCAAACAGUGAAUAUAUAAAGAUGAAUUUGUAUUGUUUCCCUUGAAUAAACAUGUUAACUAGCAAUUCAACAUAUCUCUAAACAGCAUUGUGUGUCAAGUAUUAAAUGUAACAAUCAAUAAUUUAGAUAAGUUAUGCGUGUUGACUACUUCAAUUUCUCUUUAAAUAUGAGGUUUGCAGUUAAAACAAUUGAGAUUUUCUGAAUUGUAGCAGACAAUGAUAGUAAAUGCUUUCUUUUAAAUGAUUUUCUGCUGUCAACUUCAAGAAAACAAGCGCCUGUAAGUAUGCAAGCAAGCAAAUUGUGUUUAAAGUUUGCAAUACACAAAAUUAAUAGAACGUCUGGUAAAAUACUGCUGUCCGACAAAUACUAGCUCUCUAACCAGUAAAUCUUUACAUGUCAUGUUAUGAGUACAGGUAUAUACAUAUAACUACAGUGGAUGACACUCGUGUACAUUUGGCAGUAUUGUUUUCAUCUUGUUUAUCUUUGUAUAUCUUUUUUAAAUUACAGGACUAUUUAAAUAUGUUCUGUCUUAAUCUAAUUAUUUUGUAACGCUAUUUAUUUAAAGUGGUGCUAAGAAGAAUUGGCAUUUAAACACAAUAUGUGUGCAUUUUUUCAAAGACAAAUGGCCUCAUAAAUAUUACUCAGCAUUUUUGUAUACAAUGUAUCAAGUCAUGAAGAUAAUCAUUUACAAUGUUUAAUCUAAGGGAGAUGAUUUUGUUGUUCCCUUCAUUAUGUAUUCUUUGUAUAUGAAUUAUGCUCUUUUUACCUACAUUUAUGGAAGAUAAUCUAAUAGCCUCAAGUCAUGUUAUUGUCAACACUUCUUACAAAUAAAUCAGCAACAAUGAAGAUAGUAUUGUUUUUAUGCUCCCCGAAAUAAAAUUUUGGUGGAGCAUAUAGUUGCCAGUUUGUCCUUCGUACAUCACACUUAUGUUACAGUUUCUCAUAGCGCCUUCACUAUUUUACCGAUAUCUUACAUAUUUGGCAUGUAGGUACCUUGCAUGGCCCUCUACCUUUUGAUGAGGUUUGACGUCACUGGGGUCAAGGUCAACAAGGCUAAUAAUAGAUUUUCCGUCACACUUUUGUUACAGUUUCUCAUAGCGCCUUCACUAUUUUACCGAUCUCUUACAUAUUUGGCAUGUAGGUACCUUGCAUGGACCUCUACCUUUUGAUGAGGUUUGAAGUCACUGGGUUUAAGGUCAAGGUCACCAAGGCUAAUAAUAGAUUUCCGUCACACUUUAAAAAAAAGUUUCUCAUAGCGCCUUCAAUACUUUACCGAUCUCUUUCAUAUUUGGCAUGAAGGUACCUUGCAUAGACCUCUACCUUUUGAUGAGGUUUGAAGUCACUAGGGUCAAGGUGUAGGUCACCGAGGUUAAUAAUAGAUUUUUUUAGGUGGUUAUUUACACAUAGAUUGACAAAGCGCAUCAUCGGGGAGCAUCCAUCAGUUUCACUGAUAUUCUUGUUUUUAAUGCUUACAAGUCGUAUUGUAUUCCAAUAGAAUAUUAUUUUUUAAAUCAGCCUUUUAUAACAUUACAUUUUUAAAAUGAAAAUAUUUAAACAGUAUGUGAUGUGUAAAAGCAUGUCACAUAAGAAUGUUGUUUUUUUAAUUGCUAGAUUACUAUGUAAGCUAUUUUACUUUUGUUGUUAGUCUUUAGAUGUUAGCUUUUAAUAACAAGGUGUUAAGUGUCAAUAAUAAGGUGUAUUCCACAUUUUAUUUUUGACUUUUACAAGUAUUGUAACAUUUCAUUCAUAACAUGAAUAAUUCUCUCACACAAAUCAUUGAUGUUUGUUCACUACCAACUAAUUCAUCUUUAGCUUUAUGUUAAUAUUUGUUAGCAUUAUUUAAAUUUACAAAAAAGUUUUACAUUUUCAUUUUCUUUAUACGUUGUCCUUUUACCAGUGACAGUAAAUAAUUGCUAUCGGACAAUGUCUGUAUGACAAUACAUAAGCCAGGAUAAUCAUUGUUAAUUAUAUUUACCCUAAUUAGGUUCUGAUUGCUUCUGUUUUGCUGUUAACAUAAACAAAUAAAAAAUAUUGUUAUUGUUUCAUGUUCCUCAUUUUCAUCAUCAUCAUUAAUAUAACUGUAAAAGCAUGACAUAACUGUCAGAUGAAUUAGCAUUAAGAUGGCAAAGUGAGCAUUUGAAAGUACUUACACAAAAUAUAAAAAUAUAUCCAUUUAAGAAAACAGUGAGUUUUUUGUUUAAUUUGUAACUAAAACUGUCACAUGUAUCCAACAGUUUGUUUUUGAAAGCGUACACUUUUUAUAAUUACAUUAGCCUUGUCCAAUUUCUUAUAUUUUUUCACAUUAUGAACAGCAUUAAGAAAUGUUCAUGUAUUCAUGAUCUAUUGAUUUGUUUUGUUCCUUGAUUAAUAUAAAUAAAUAGUACAUUAUAAUAAUGACAAUAAUUUUAAAAAAGGAACAAUAAUUAGAUUAAUUGAUUCAGAAUUUGCAAUACUGUUGUUAACCUAUUCUGGUCAAGCGCAUCACUUGCAUCAAUUUCAGUGAUAAAAUAUUAGAAUCCCCAUCUCUUAGUAGUUGAAAUUUCGAAUAUACUAUGUCCUCAUCAAAACAUUAGUGCUGCAAUAUUUGUGGAAAAGAAUAUUGUUUAAAUGCAAAUAGUGGUGUUAAAGGUAAAUGUAUAUCCUAUAUGCUUUAAUGUUUUGUCAAAAUUGUUUAUAAAUUACUAGAAAGUAUCUGUAAAUGUCUGUGACGUGAACAGCAAUGAAAGAGCAUACAUUCAGAAACCCACCUUCUCAGUUUCGCCUUUGUUUAUGUUUAAUCCUCAUAUUAUUUAUAAAUAUUUUAUGUUACAUAAUCUCGGUCCUUGUUUUAAAGAUUACUCAAAAAAGUUGUGACUUACCUUAUGAAAACUUUUAGUUUCUAUUUUUUGUGUCUAUUUUCUUUUGAGAUUUGCUCUGGGAAAAUCGAUUUUAAUGCAUGUGCAAAACGUGUCGUCCCAUAGUAGCCAUGUGCAAAACGUGUCGUCCCAUAUUCGUCCAAUAGAAGCCAUUGUAAAGGCUAAUCAGUGACAACACUUUUAUGGAAUUCUUUGUUUAAAGGAAGUAUCUCCUUUGCGAAAAUAAAGCUUAGACAGAAAAUGCCUGAUUAUGCUUACUCAUCUGGGGCCACACUUUAUGGACAUGUAUUAAACCCUGUUUUCCCACUGGGGCCACACUUUAUGGACAUGUAUUAAACCCUGUUUCCCCACUGGGGCAACAAUUUAUGGACAUGUAUUAAACCCUGUUUCCCCACUGGGGCAACAAUUUAUGGACAUGUAUUAAACCCUGUUUGCCCACUGGGGCAACACUUUAUGGACAUGUAUUAAACCCUGUUUUCCCACUGGGGCAACACUUUAUGGACAUGUAUUAAACCCUGUUUUCCCACUGGGGCCACACUUUAUGGACAUGUAUUAAACCCUGUUUCCCCACUGGGGCAACAAUUUAUGGACAUGUAUUAAACCCUGUUUGCCCACUGGGGCAACACUUUAUGGACAUGUAUUAAACCCUGUUUGCCCACUGGGGCAACACUUUAUGGACAUGUAUUAAACCCUGUUUUCCCACUGGGGCAACACUUUAUGGACAUGUAUUAAACCCUGUUUGCCCACUGGGGCAACACUUUAUGGACAUGUAUUAAACCCUGUUAGCCUACUGGGGCAACACUUUACUGACAUGUAUUAAACCCUGUUUUCCCACUGGGGACACACUUUAUGGACAUGUAUUAAACCCUGUUUUCCCAGAGCAAUGCUCAUCUAGGGCAACACUUUAUGGACAUGUAUUAAACCCGGUUUUCCCAGAGCAACCCUUAUGAUUUUCAGCUUGAAUUAUCAACAAUUAGUAGUUGUUGUCCGUUUUAAAAGUUUUGAUACUGGUAACACACAUUUACAGUGAUGUAAGGUAGAUAUACUCAUUUACCAUGGGUAUUUUUUAUAACAUAUUGUGCAUUAACUUUUUAUGUUCCCCACUAUAGAGUGGGGGACAUAUUGUUUUUGCCCUGUCUGUUGGUCUGUCUGUUGGUCUGUCUGUUUGCGCCAACUUUAACAUUUUGCAAUAACUUUUGCUAUAUUGAAGAUAGCAACUUCAUAUUUGGCAUGCAUGUGUAUCUCAUGGAGCUGCACAUUUUGAGUGGUGAAAGGUCAAGGUCAAGGUCAUCCUUCAAGGUCAGAGGUCAAAUAUAUAUGGCCAAAAUCGCUCAUUUUAUGAACACUUUUGCAAUAUUGAAGAUAGCAACUUGAUAUUUGGCAUGCAUGUGUAUCUCAUGGAGCUGCACAUUUUGAGUGGUGAAAGGUCAAGGUCAUCCUUCAAGGUCAGAGGUCAAAUAUAUGUGGCCCAAAUCGCUUAUUUUAUAAAUACUUUUGCAAUAUUGAAGAUAGCAACUUGAUAUUUGGCAUGCAUGUGCAUCUCAUGGAGCUGCACAUUUUGAGUGGUGAAAGGUCAAGGUCAUCCUUCAAGGUCAGAGGUCAAAUAUAUGUGGCCCAAAUCGCUUAUUUUAUAAAUACUUUUGCAAUAUUGAAGAUAGCAACUUGAUAUUUGGCAUGCACGUGCAUCUCAUGGAGCUGCACAUUUUGAGUGGUGAAAGGUCAAGGUCAUCCUUCAAGGUCAGAGGUCAAAUAUAUAUGGCCCAAAUCGCUUAUUUUAUGAAUACUUUUGCAAUAUUGAAUAUGGCAACUUGAUAUUUGGUAUGCAUGUGUAUCUCAUGGAGCUGCACAUUUUGAGUGGUGAAAGGUCAAGGUCAUCCUUCACAAGGUCAAGGUCAUCCUUCAAAGUCAAACGUCAUAUAGGGGGACAUUGUGUUUCACAAAGGCAUCUUGUUUAAUGUUACAUCUUUUUAAUUUGAUGGUGCAAUAGAACUUUAAAGCUAUCAUGUUUGCACAAUUGUUCUCACAGUGUUAAGCUCUCUGAAGAUUAAAUUGUUUUAUAAUUUGAGUAGUAUGAAUAUUUGUUCUGAUUUUUAAAAUGAUGGUUUGAAUGUUCUUUAAUAAGCUGACCUGUUUUUAGCUCCACUGGCCAGAGGCCAGCAGGGCUUAUGUCAUGGUCCUGUAUUUGCGUGCGUGUGUGUGUGUGUUAACUUUUUCUUUAAACAUCUUCUUCUCCUUAACUACUGGUCCAAUUUUGAUUAAAUUUCUCAGGAAUGUUCCUGGGGUGAACCUCUUUCAAAUUCGUUCAAAUUAUGCCCCUGGGGUCAAAUUUGACCCUGCCCUGGGGGUCACAAAAUUGAAAAUUUGCUUAUAUAAGGCCUAUUUUGUGAAAACUUUCAAAAUCUUCUCGUCCAUAACCAUUGGGCCUAGGGCUAUCAAAGUUGGUAUGUAGAGACAUCUAAUAGUCCUCUACCAAAUUGUUCAGAUUAUGCCCCUGGGGUCAAAUUUGACUCUGCCCCGGGGGUCACAAAAUUGAACAUAUGACGUUUACCAGGGGAGAUUACUGCUGCCAUGUGGCUGUGAACAACAACAUCUUGUGACAUAUGGACACUCUACGCAUAUGAGUCUCGCGGCGGCGCAGUUGUGCCACGAGAACCAGAUAGUUUUCUACUGUCUCCUUGAAAACGCCACCCAGUUGCUGCAACCUUGUGAUGUAGGUUUCUUCGGGCCACUGAAUUUAUCUUGGAAACGUCAAGUGAAGUACUGGCUAACAGAACAUCUAGGCCAAAGUUUCACUAAAAGGUAAUUUCCAAGUGUUUUCCGAAAAUGUUGGGAAGAUGUCACAAAGGUUGAGAACGCGAUCCAUGGGUUCAAACAUUGUGGACUGUUCACAUUAAGUCCCGAAAAUGUUGACCAGUAAAACUGCAUCCAUCUGCGGUGCAUGCUCCUGCCACUGCCUCUUCCAUAAGCGACACCGUUGCAACUAGUAAAUCAGGGAUCAGGGAACGCGGCGAUUGCGACUCAAACACAGCUAUAGCCUCCCCAAUCGUUAUGUCAGAGAAAACCAAUUGCAGCGAUACAGACGGCGUGGCGAUGUCCUGCACCACGAAACUUAUAGACCAACCGGAGCGAUCUGUACAGCCUAAUAGUGAGGCCGUCUUACCGUCAACUAGCAAAACUGCAUUCUUCGACAGGAAGUGAAAAUAUGCACACAAUCUCGUCCGUCAAAAUUGUACAAACAGAUAAAACCAGUCAAGUUUCUGCAUCUUUCUCGCUACUGAAUUUUUUUUAUACCCAUUUAUAUACAAGAAUGACAUUUAUCAUACCCAUUUUGAUGCUGAUGCUUUCAAAUCUAUAUGCAUUUAUAUACAAGCACAUUUCUGAUUUCAAUACCCAUAUCUAUACUUAGAUGCUCAAAACCAUACCCAUAUCUAUAAUUUUAGUCGAAAAACACCUCCAUAUUUUGGCACACCCAGAUACUUCAGAUGCUAAUAGUUUCUUAAUCAUGCCCUUGUAUAACAAUACUAAUUUUAACAUCGGCAACACUCACUUUUUACUAAAGCAAUGUAGCAACACUGAAAUUUAACAAGACAGAGGUACAAAUAUUAACUUUAUUUUUUUAUGAAGGUCUUAUUUACUCAGUGAAGACAUUUAUUAGAUCUUUAAAACUAGAAUUUAAUAGCAGAGUAUUGAGUGUUUAAAUGAUGUCCCUGAUAUGCAAUGCUAACUUUUUUUAUCAACUAUAGAAGUCUAUCUAGAUUCAUUUUAGGAAUGUUUUGUUAAAAAGGAUGUAGAACGUAUUUGCAUUAAAAUGAGAAAUACUCAAUAACGAGAAAAUUACAUACAAAUAUUUUUUUUUAAAUAAUUUCUUAAUAACAAUACAUAUAAGAGAUACUUUCUGACAGUGCUUUCAGUACAUAAUUAUUUACCAAAUAUUAGGAACUAAUUCUUUAUUGUAGAAAUGAAGUUAUUUUACAAUAAAAUUGUACUUUUUGUAACCAAUUAAAGAAGAAGAAGUAUGUGAUUUGAAAUAUUAAAAAGGAACAUUAAAGAUUGAAGUAAAAAAAUAAAUGUAUAUUUUUGCUUUGUAAAGAAAAAAAAAAGUUGCCAAAUUAUAAUGAUUACUGUAAAAUUCAAGUUUUUUUUUCUCAAUAUAACAAUAUCAAACUAACUGAAACGGGAAAGGACGAUGGUCAAUCAUUUUAGAACUUGUUAGCAUACAACAAUAAUGACUUUAUAAUAAAAAAUAUAUAUUUGUUACUGAAAAAUAAACAUGUUGAGAUGAGUA